CAAUAGCGUAUAUUAAAGUUGUUGCGGUUAAAAAGCUCGUAGUUGGAGUUCUGCCAGGUGCCGCCUGUCCGCCCCAGUGGUGAGUACGUGGCGCGCAUUUGGCCCUUUCAAGGGGAGCGUAUCUGCACUUUAUUGUGUGGUGCGGGAUCCUUGACUUUUACUUUGAGGAAAUAGGAGUGUUCCAAGCAGGCUCUCGUCGUGCACAGCUCAGCAUGGAAUAAUAGCAUUGGACCUCGAUUCUAAGCUGUUGGUUGCCAGAAGCGAGGUAAUGAUGAAGAGGGAUAGUUGGGGGCAUUCGUAUUUAACUGUCAGAGGUGAAAUUCUUGGAUUUGUUAAAGACAGACUACUGCGAAAGCAUCUGCCAUGGAUGUUUUCAUUGA
rnacentral:rRNA from 1 species